UGUCCGAGUUNNGUAAUCUGGAGAAGUGCUUUCCGCUCUGGACCGUGUACAAGUCUCUUGGAAUAGAGCGUCAUAGAGGGUGAGAAUCCCGUCUUUGACACGGACUACCAGUGCUUUGUGAUGCGCUUUCAAAGAGUCGAGUUGUUUGGGAAUGCAGCUCAAAAUGGGUGGUAAAUUCCAUCUAAAGCUAAAUAUUGGCGAGAGACCGAUAGCGAACAAGUACCGUGAGGGAAAGAUGAAAAGCACUUUGGAAAGAGAGUUAAACAGUACGUGAAAUUGCUGAAAGGGAAACGCUUGAAGUCAGUCGCGUUGUUCAGAACUCAGCCUAGCCUCGGCUUGGUGCAUUUUCUGAAUAACGGGCCAGCAUCAAUUUUGACUGUUGGAUAAAGGCCAGAGAAAUGUGGCUCUCUCGGGAGUGUUAUAGUCUUUGGUCGCAUACAAUGGUUGGGAUUGAGGAACUCAGCAUGCCUUUAUGGUCGGGGUUCGCCCACGUUCAUGCUUAGGAUGCUGGCGUAAUGGCUUUAAACGACCCGUCUUGAAACACGGACCAAGGAGUCUAACAUGCCUGCGAGUGUUUGGGUGGAAAACCCGAGCGCGCAAUGAAAGUGAAAGUUGGGAUCUCUGUCGUGGAGAGCACCGACGCCCGGACCAGACCUUCUGUGACGGAUCCGCGGUAGAGCAUGUAUGUUGGGACCCGAAAGAUGGUGAACUAUGCCUGAAUAGGGUGAAGCCAGAGGAAACUC
rnacentral:rRNA from 1 species